rnacentral:rRNA from 1 species
UGAGCAAUCUGCCCUUCUCUUCGGAAUAAGCGUUGGAAACGACGUCUAAUGCCGAAUACGACCUCCUUUCGCAUGAUCGGAGGUGGAAAGCUCCGGCGGAGAAGGAUGAGCUCGCGGCCUAUCAGCUAGUUGGUGUGGGUAAUGGCCCACCAAGGCGACGACGAGUAGCCGGCCUGAGGAGGGUGACCGGCCACACUGGGACUGAGACACGGCCCAGACCUCCGUACGGGAGCAG